CUUUCAUUCGUUCAUGCAUUUAUUCACUUCACAAAAAUCUGUUGAGAGUUGGAUCCAUCAAAGACAAGGCCUGCCGGCCUGGUGGGAAAGUUAGUCACAUCAAGGACCCCACAGUUCAGUCCUGGAGUGAGCGGGGACAGCCAGACACAAUCCACGCAGUCCAAAGAAAUUUCAAAAUAAGUUCUCUCUUAGCUUAGGUUUCUCCAGAACCCAACUCCGAAACAAGGAAGAAAAAAACGUCUUGCCAUUCCUAGCCACUUCGUCUUUCGGUACUAUCCCUUCCAAUUCUGGUUUAGAAGAAGAUGAAAAGCUUGAAGACAGUCUUCAAUGAUCAGUUUUUGCCUCGAAUUUUAUUUAAUCCAAUAAUUGCUCUGCCAGACAUACGGGGAUGCUGUCAGGAGCACAAAGGCAGCCUCUGCUUGGGACAGUUGGAGAAGACUUCUUAAAAGGUUUUUUUGUCUUGACAUCAACCCCCUCCAAGGACAUGCAUCAUUCUGUGACUCCUCAGCCUGACCUGCAUCCCAGAGAUUUCCUCAGAGGGAAAAUCUAGUCCAUCACGUUUGGCAUAGUUACUCCUUCAAGAAUUGUGGAUUGAGGUAAAAAUGUUCACUUGUGGAGGGGAGCAGAAAGGAUAGGGUAGGAAGGACUGUGCAGUGACAAAAAUACAAAUGUUACAGGGGCGCCUGGGUGGCUCAUUUGCUUGAGCGACUGACCCACGAUUU